GACGAACGCUGGCGGCGUGCCUAAUACAUGCAAGUAGAACGCAGUUGCGAACGGGUGAGUAACGCGUAGGUAACUGCCUCAUAGCGGGGGAUAACUAUUGGAAACGAUAGCUAAUACCGCAUACUGUGAGAUGGACCUGCGUUGUAUUAGCUAGUUGGUGAGGUAAAGGCUCACCAAGGCGACGAUACAUAGCCGACCUGAGAGGGGGAUUGGCCAAACUGGGACCGAGACACAGCCCAGAAACCUACGGGAGGCAGGCGAAAGGAAUCUUCGGGAAUGGACGGAAGUCUGACCGGGCAACGCCGCGGGAGGGAAGAAGGUUUUCGGAUUGUAAAGCUCGGUUGAUAGAGGAGCGGUAACUAACCAGAAAGGGACGGCUAACUACGUGCCAGCCGCCGCGGUAAUUC
rnacentral:rRNA from 1 species